rnacentral:lncRNA from 1 species
UUAAUCAUCUACAAACAUAUAGAAGACCAGCUUCCAUGAAAUAUAAAAAUCCAUAUCUUAUUAGCAUGAUUAGUAUAAGGUACAUUCUGAUUUCUAAAAUUAUGACAAACAAUCAGCAGAAGGAAUUUAAAGAUAACAUUGUCUUUAAUUUAAAUUGACAUAUGUGAGUUUUUUUAAACAUAAAAAAGAACACCUGCAAUAAAUAGCUGUUAGACAUUCAGAUGGUUUUUAAAUUCAACUUGGAUUUACAGAUUAAAAUUAGACAACAAAACACUUUUAAGAGUCGAAUGCAAAUCACAAAAAAAAAGUCAUAAACAAGUCAUAAGAUUUUUAGUGAAAACUACCACUGGUUUGUAGCAUUUGGUAAAUAAAGAUUUAUACCAAUAUAUGCCAAAUGUACAAUACCAUUUGAUGGUCAUUCUUCAAUCAAUUGUACAGUUGUUUAAAUUUAAGCGGAAAAAAAGAUUUCUUUUCCUUGUAAUAUAUUUUCACAAUUUUUCAACAUUUUAAUAGAAAUGUUCAUGUUCUAUUAUAUCAAAUAAAGUCUACAAAAGUGAAAUUUGUAACUUUUAGCAUAUUUCCCUUUCUUAAACAUGUUCAGUAUUUUCCAAAUAUUUUUUUCAUUUUUCUCAUGUUUUUCUCACCUCUUAAAUGGGAUAGUAGCAAUUAUACCUUAUAUAUAAAUCACAAAGGUAUAAUAAAUAAACCCAUCAUAGAUACCAGGAUUAAAAUUUUAUAUUUACGCCAGAAGCGCGUUUCAUCUACUAAAAUGAAUAUAUUUCGUUUAUAAAUCAUAUAAUAUCACAAAAGUAUAAAAAUUAAAGAUAUUUUGUUCAUAAAUCAUUUAAACUCAAAUGAAU